rnacentral:lncRNA from 7 species
AAUAUAAAUCUCCCCUCUUUUAGUUUAAAACUCUUCCCUUUGUCCUACCACUGUCAGACUUUGUAAAAAGUUGAUUUCCAUCUUGUUUAAAAGUUGUCAACAAAGUUGUCUUUAAACGUUCUGCAUGGCUUCCACCACAGGAAGAGUUUGUAAGUCUUCAUGAGAACAUUCAGAUAUGCUUUCUUCUGAGAAGUGUCAGGACAAAUCCAGACAUUAGUAACAAGCCAACUACCAUUUAUGCCCUGAAAACUAGAGAAAAUGUGCUUAAAUGGGUGUUUGUCCAAAGAACUGUCUACUGACAACUUAUGAAAUGCCUGGAACACUGCAUCUUGCAGUAGUGUCGCAUGCUUAUGGCCCUCCUUUCAAAACUCUCUCUGCCCAGUACCCAAUUUGGCAUGCAGAUCUCUCUUGGAUGGGCCACAUUUUGGAUCUGUCAGGUACUCUCAAAGCUGUGGGAAACUAGAGGAUUUGGUUGUAUAUGUGAAGAUCUUCAGGAAGUUACCUAAGCAAAAUGCCUUUAGAGGUCAAGAAAUAAAACCCUUUGAAUAAAAGCCAUUGUAAGGUGUCCUGUGGGAUCCACUUGUAGGUUAUCUAUUGCUGGUACAUUUACUUCUCAUGAUCCAAAAAAAAAAAAAAAAAAGAAAAGAAAAAGAAAAAGAAAAAGAAAGAAAAAGAGAAGACUUUACCUAAGGAAAGGCUUCUGCAGCACAACUUAAAAAAAAUAAAAUAAAAUAACAGGCAGACACAAAGCUCCCUGCUUUAUGAGCGUAAUUACUGCCACAUGUUCUAAUGACAGCAUCCAGUACAAAGAGUGAGUGAAAGCCUGUGAAGCCUGCUCUUGUCCUGAGUAGAUGGUGACUUUAAUUGUGCAGCAUGUCCCAGCACCAGUCCUCUUAGACUCACUCACGUUGACUGACCCCUUGCUGCAUAACUGGAAGGUCGAUCAGUGCAGAGGCAUGACAGCUGUGCUUUUGCUCUCUCUGCUCAGAACCUGGAGUCAAGACAGUAUGGAGAUAGCAAUCUUAAAAUAAUAAAAAUCAAGGAAGAAAUGCAGAUAAUCAAGUUUUGGGGAGAGUCACUGAAGGAGGACUGAAUAUUCAUAGCUGCUUUUCUCCACUUGAGAUGCUCAGAGAAGGGACUGGGUUUCCAGGAGAGCUCCUUUGGGGCUGCGUAGUGUCUGCCACAAACUUUUGGAAAAUGUGGGCCACAAAACACAAGGCAGCAUGUAUAGAGAGCUGUAAUUUGGGAAAGUGAAGACCUGGACCUACUUCUUCUGUCCCUCCUUAAAAGGUAUUCUGUUGAUUGUGAGAUUUGGACAUUGCUUCUAAAAGAAUAAAGUUUC